rnacentral:lncRNA from 1 species
AACAAGCAGUACGAAUUUGUCUUUAUCAGGGACGGCAUUGUUCGGCAGUCUUUCAUAUUCGAGACGCGAUAGUGUGAACGUGCUACGGAAUACUUACCUACUUGAACGUUACAAUUUUGUGUUUAGCAAAUGUUUUAGCGAUUGGAUGGACCAUACGGCAACCAGAUAGAUUAUUCCACAUGUGGAAGAUCCUCCCCUGAUGCACUUCGUGAUACACAAAGAAGCUUCUUCCAGUAACACAAUUCCUCACAAAUUCUUUUCCAUGCUGUUAUGGUAAGUUCUUACCCUAUUUCUUUUUGAUUAUUUACUAUUGCUGUAUUAUUUGUUAUAAUGUCCGCAUUUUAAUCGUAAAAUGCAGUUUCAUUUUUAAAAAAGUGAUACACAGUAUAUUCAUUCGCGUUACCUUUCCUAUUUAUUAAUCAAAAAUUAUGAAUGAAAAAACACAAAUCUCAGUUCUCAGAUUCUGUUGCAAGUCAUUACAAUUAGAUAUGGACAUGAUUUGAAUAAUGUACCGGGUCUGAUAUCUACAAAAUCGCCUAAAACUUUCAAUUUUUAUAUGUAUUUUAUAUGUAGAUAUUUUAUUAUACACAGAAAUUUGUUAUACAUAGAAACCUAAACUCAAUAUUUAACCAAUGGCGAAACAGAAAGCGGCAGAAUAUCUUACGUGAGAUUGAUGUUAUCAGAAAAAGUUUUAACAAAAGUUGUUUAGUUCAAAAGAAGGCAUCACAUAGAGUGCAAAUUACUUUUUUGUAGAUCCAGUAGUAGGGUUCCAUUUCAACUUCAUUUUUGCAAAUGGAUUAUUUUCUUUUUAAUACAUUCAUCGAUCUAUCUUUGUAUUCCUUAUGAAAAAAUUAAAAAGAUCUGUUAGUUCACCAGAUUCUUAAUUUGAAUUCGUCAUAUGAAAGUCAGAUAAGGACGUGAAACGGCACUCUUGUGUUUACGUUGUCCUUGUCUUUCGUUUGUUUCAACGUAAACACAAUACCGCUUCGUGCCUUAUGUUUAUCUUUCAUACGACAAAUUAAACGGAAGAUAUAAUUUAAAUUAACAGUUUUUCGACAUAAAUAUGUUAAUAUUUUUUUACAUGAUAUGAAACGUUACGUUGUUGGUUACACUACUGUUGUUUACAUAGCACGAGUUUCGGCUGAUUGGUAGAUAAAAAAAGAAUAAUAAUAACAACGAAGAACCGAUUUGGAAGAACGAACCUUUCGUUUUCCUCCGAAUCUCUCAUCAAACAGGUCAUAUUGUAGGAUGUCAACAUACUUUCCGCAGUGAACGUAUAUAUAUAUUUUUCACAUGUUUUGAUAUAUAUAUUAACUAUACUUAUUGCUAUACAUAUUUAUAUUGUAGUAUGUAAUUAGCUUUUUGUAGACAUAAACGCACAAAAGAUAUAUGGAUGUUAACAUUAUUUCGUUUAACGGAAUCAUCGAACAACACAAACAAUUCUUUUUCACAUUGUUUUGCGAGAUAUGGUGACGCAAUUCCGUUUUUAACGCGAACUACGACGGUUAACUGGAAUGAGACAGAAAAGAAAUAAAAAUUCAAUUCAUUACCUAUAAAAUAUCUUAAUUAUUUUUCGACAUAAUUGUCAUUUGCAUCAAUCUAUAUUUGGCAACGCGUGAUAAGUUUCUUCAUUCCGUCAGCAAAGAAUUCUGCUGGAUACUUCUGGUAAACUUUUGAUAAACAACUUCACUGCUCUCUUAACUUCAUUUUCACACUUGAAAUGAGUUCCCAUCACAUUAUUUUCCUUUUAUAAUUUGUAUAAAAUGAAACUAAAUCGUCACCGCGAUGUGUGUAUUACCGUCUGCUUAUACUCUAACUUUUUUUUUUAAUGUUUCUUUAUUGAUUCCAGGUUUUUUACAUAUU